AAGCAAAGUCCAAUUUCAUUGUAUCUUCAUGUUCGUGGCUGAUACACAGCCAUUUUUAUUUCUUGUAAUAAUAGUCGGGUACUUUAGUGGUUUUUCCUGCAUUUUGCAAAUCAAGUCAAGAUGCCAUUCCCAUCCUGGUUUUAUUCUUGCGAAGUAUUGUGGACAUCAAAUUAUUUUCAUUUACGGUAAUAGUUUCAAAUCACAAGUGCAGAUGCCACUUCCCCUCUGGAUCAGAAGCUGUGAGAUCAUCCCAUUUGAGGUGAGUAGCGACUAGCGCCUGAACGAAUGGUUGAGUAACACCACUAUCUUUUCUUUAUUUGCUUGUAUAGGUUAGU